GAUCCUGGCUCAGAUUGAACGCUGGCGGAAUGCUUUACACAUGCAAGUCGAACGGUAGAGGGGGCAACCCCUCGAGAGUGGCGAACGGGUGAGUAAUAUAUCGGAACGUGCCCAGUCGUGGGGGAUAACGUAGCGAAAGUUACGCUAAUACCGCAUACGAUCUAAGGAUGAAAGCGGGGGACUCGCAAGAGCCUCGCGCGAUUAGAGCGGCCGAUGCCUGAUUAGCUUGUUGGUGAGGUAAAGGCUCACCAAGGCGACGAUCCUUAGCUGGUCUGAGAGGAUGAUCAGCCACACUGGGACUGAGACACGGCCCAGACUCCUACGGGAGGCAGCAGUGGGGAAUAUUGGACAAUGGGCGAAAGCCUGAUCCAGCAAUGCCGCGUGAGUGAUGAAGGCCUUAGGGUUGUAAAGCUCUUUUACCAGGGAUGAUAAUGACAGUACCUGGAGAAUAAGCUCCGGCUAACUCCGUG
rnacentral:rRNA from 1 species